rnacentral:rRNA from 1 species
AUUGAACGCUGGCGGAAUGCUUUACACAUGCAAGUCGAACGGCAGCACGGACUUCGGUCUGGUGGCGAGUGGCGAGCGGGUGAGUAAUAUAUCGGAACGUAUCCAAUAAUGGGGGAUAACUAAUCGAAAGGUUGGCUAAUACCGCAUACGUCCUACGGGAGAAAGCUAGGGACCUUCGGGCCUGGCGUUAAUGGAUCGGCCGAUAUCGGAUUAGCUAGUUGGUGAGGUAAAGGCUCACCAAGGCGACGAUCCGUAGCUGGUCUGAGAGGACGACCAGCCACACUGGAACUGAGACACGGUCCAGACUCCUACGGGAGGCAGCAGUGGGGAAUUUUGGACAAUGGGCGAAAGCCUGAUCCAGCCAUUCCGCGUGAGUGAAGAAGGCCUUCGGGUUGUAAAGCGCUUUCGCAGGAGAAGAAAACUUAACCUCUAACAUAGGGUGAGGUUGACGGUAUCUUGAUAAGAAGCACCGGCUAACUAUGUGCCAGCCGCCGCGGUAA